rfam:Picea glauca, whole genome shotgun sequence.
ACAUGCUUGCAACAUAGAGUUAAUGCAUCAUAUCCCAUUAGAACUCCAUAGUUAAGUGCGCUCAUGCUAGAGUAAUAAUGGGAUGGGUAACCACCCAGGAAUUCCUAGUGUUUUACAUGCC